GACGAACGCUGUCGGCGUGCUUAACACAUGCAAGUCGAACGGAAAGGCCCUGCUUUUGUGGGGUGCUCGAGUGGCGAACGGGUGAGUAACACGUGAGUAACCUGCCCUUGACUUUGGGAUAACUUCAGGAAACUGGGGCUAAUACCGGAUAGGAGCUCCUGCUGCAUGGUGGGGGUUGGAAAGUUUCGGCGGUUGGGGAUGGACUCGCGGCUUAUCAGCUUGUUGGUGGGGUAGUGGCUUACCAAGGCUUUGACGGGUAGCCGGCCUGAGAGGGUGACCGGCCACAUUGGGACUGAGAUACGGCCCAGACUCCUACGGGAGGCAGCAGUGGGGAAUAGUGCACAAUGGGCGGAAGCCUGAUGCAGCAACGCCGCGUGCGGGAUGACGGCCUUCGGGUUGUAAACCGCUUUCGCCUGUGACGAAGCGUGAGUGACGGUAAUGGGUAAAGAAGCACCGGCUAACUACGUG
rnacentral:rRNA from 1 species